UUUGAAAGAAGCAACGAAGAAGAAACAGCAGCUGCAUUUUGAUUGGCCGACACGUUUAUACGUAGGGUGCAUGCAGCACCUUUCAAGGAGGCACUUCUGCACUUCACUGGACACCGCAUUAAAGAUAAAUCAUCAAAUACACAAAUCAAGAUACAGAGUCAACUCAGUCUUUGUUAGAUCAACAGGAGGGAUUAUCAGACAACUGGACAGAACAGACACCCUUCAUCCUUAGCUCUAAUAUGAGUGAGUUAACGGACUUUGACAAAGGUCAAAUAGUCGGUGCCCAUGCUGCAGGACUGUCAGUCGAAGAGAUCGCCAAGUUAUGUGACGUGUCGAACGAGGCGGUCUUCGAAGUGUUGAGUAUGUAUAACAUACCCAUAAAUAAUGUAUCGGCAGAGAAGAACAGUGAGCAAAGAGCAAAGAAGAGGAAAAGACAGAAAAUAGCAGAUGUUAAUGGAAGAGCUGCCAGUGAGAAACCAACAUCAGAGAUUCCAGUAACUGAGUCUACAGUACAGACUACAGCUCCAGUGACUCCAAUAUCAGAUUAUCCAGAUUCAGAUGUCAACAUGCAAAAGCAGGACUCUCAUCAAGGAGGUGCCAAUGACACACCAGUAUUGGAGAUUCCAGAUCCAGAGACCCCAUUUACAGAAACUCCAGACUCAGAGAUUAACAUAUAAAAGCAGAAGACCUAAAGAUCUGGAUUCCAGAAAAAAAGGCCUGGGGCCACAAUUUUAAUACCUGGGAGUAUAAAGUUGGCCUGAGUAAUGACACAAAGUAAGAGAAAAUGCUUUGAAUUUAAGGUAUUUUCUCAAAGCUAAUAUGUUUUUGUUUUAAAAGACAGACUAUUUUCCUUUUUAAACUUUAUUUUUUUGUUUUUUAUGAAAAGAAAUCACUUAAGAGACUAAAUGACAAAUAAGAUCAGGUUAAAAAGAUAAAUAAAUAGGGGGGGGAUUGUGUCUCCAAAGUCUGUAUUUGUCCUUUAAAAUCACGGGGGUCUUUCAGAAAUCCAUUCAAUUAGUGUUUGAAUGCCAAGAAAUAAGAUAAUGUUCUACAAAACAAAAAAACACUUAAGAUUCAUGCUGAAGUAUAAUUUUCAGUUUUCCCAAAAGUUUUUACAUUCUUUGGUGUCUCAGAAGGAAAUUCACACCUUCUAUAUUGUACAUUUUCUGGAAAACUUUUAUCCAUUCAGUAACUUUUACAGUUUUAUUUACUCAGCCAUUUCCUUGCUAUUGCCUUUUUACUCUAUCAUUGUAUAUAUGUGACGUAUCAUAUAUAGCCUGUAUCAAACAUGUAAGUGACUGAUUAAAAGCACAUUGUAUUCCUUAAAGAAAAAUAUUUUUGAUGCCUUAUCUCAUAAUGAUGAGAAUUAAGAGGUUAUGAGAUCCUUAGUAAUAUUUUAAUACAAAAUAGAGGAAGGAGAGAAAUUGUAUGAAAUGAUGUGUAUCUUAUGACACGGAUUGUAUUGAAAUUAAAAUCAGAUAGAAAUUUGUCACUUUUA